GACCCAACUUGGUGUGCUGUCACACUCACGGGACGAAUCACCAACAAUAGUUGAUGUUCUAUCCAAGAGGGUUUUAAGCUUCACUGGUGAGAGUGUCCAGGAGAUACAUGUUGAGGGAAGAUGAGAACAUAGCAGGAGAAGAUUUCCACUAGAGAGGGACCCAGAAAAGGAGCAGAGACCACUUAAGCAUGAAGUGUUUUCAAGUGGGAGCUGGUGUUUUAUUACUGGACCACCUAGAGGACAUGAGGUUGUUGUCUGAUUUGCUGAGUCAGGGGGCGGCUAGAGAGGGUCAGAGCGAAGGUAGUGGACCUGGGAAUAGUGUAGUGACGUCUCUGGAAGACGUCAAGAGAGGGAAUUGUGGAAUUACAGGGAUUAUUUUACAUAACCAUCAUCUUUAUCAUUGCAUUAAUUAUCAUUUCAUCCAAGCAUUUAUUGAAGUUGCUGGCAUUAUGUUAUAAUUUGUAUUACAG
ensembl:lncRNA